UGUUAUUACCAGCUGAUUAAGGAGGAGUAGUGUAAGUGUCAGAUGGGUACGAACGUCAUCUUGUGACAGCAUCACCUUUGUUUGGCUAAAGUACAAGAGAACUGCAGCAUCUAAGACUACAUGUACAUUGACUUUGAAUAAUCUACCCGGUAUAUCCUCAAAAAGGCAACUCAAAUACAGAAAGUGCAUAUAAUUUGGAAAAGAGACCAUCAAUCCACUGGGGGGUAUCGCAUGAAUGCAAUGAUUAUAGAAUAUUGUAAGGCUGGA